CCCACAACCAUGUGUGUAGGACCCCAAAGGAUCACUAUUAAAUUUGACACAGAUCUCUAGAAAAGUUAUCACAUGGGUGCGGGACUUGACUUUUCUAGAGGUCUGUAUCAAAUUUAAUGGUGAUCAUUUGGGGUCCUAUACACAUGGGUGUUGG
rfam:Amborella trichopoda AMTR_V1.0_contig_17322, whole genome shotgun sequence.